UGAACAUUUAUUAAGUUUAAAAACAAAACAAAUUACCACAUGACAAUGGAUUUAGAUAUCACUAUCUUAUCCACUGCAUUGGCCAAUAUGUAUUGGUAUUAGUGAUUCUUGAUAUCGAUACAUGAUUGAUGCUUUCACAGUUGAUUGUAUUGGUCACAAUAUCAAGCAUAUCGGCUGGAUCAUCCAUGAUAAGUUGAUACAGAUUAUAAACUGACUUGAAUCCUCUAUGACGCAACAGGACUUCUGGGGCGCAUCCAACGCUCAAGUUAGGAAUUCCAACGGGUUUUAAUGGCAACUUAGCUAUGCCAGAAAGAAACCCAAGUGAGGAUUUCCAAGAAGAACAGCAAUAGAAGAUUUUUUCUGAAAGUAGAAGCUUCCACACCAGAGGAAUAAAGGAACCUGCAAACAAGCUACCUAUAUUAGGUAAUAACCCGUGUGCCACGAGGAAACUGUAAGAAGGGGGACAUCAUUCCAGGCAAGCAAAAGAAACCCAGGAGUACUCUCUCGAUCUGGAACCGUUGAGCCGAGUCUCUUCGUAAGCUUGGCUCGAGCGACUCGAAAACCACCGAGUAAUACCUCAAUGCGUAUGUGAAACCAGCUAAUAAAACCCACCCGGUUCAAGCUUGCUUCAUACUCUCCAAGGGGUUAUAUAGUUGAAGCAUGAAGUUCACAGCCAAAACCUCGUCCGAAUUAACUCUGAAGCUCGAAUUCGUUCAGCUCUUCAAUCGGCACCAAGAAGGGCUCAAACUCAAAAUUCAGAUCGAGAAGCUUUGCAAAAUCACGGAGUCGAUUGCUGGUGGCAAACAAAGACGCCAACGGUGACUUCCCAAGUGCCAGUGCCAAUAUUUGGAGAUUCGGAUCGUCGAUGGUCUCCCGGCGGAUCGUGUUGUCAAAGCUGCCCACUGAACUCCUUGGACGAUUCCGAAGUAUACGAUGUGUAGUCGAGUUGCAGUUUCGGUGGCUUCUCCUUCUCGGAGUUUCGGAAAUUUGGAGAUUUUCAUACAAGUGAGAAAAGGGUAUGAUUGGUAUUCAUUGUUGGGUGUAUAUGGAAAAAGAUAAUUAUGUCUUUUUGUAAAAUAAAUUAACACCUCUCUUAACUGAUUUAAGUGAAAGGGGUGAAUGUAAUAAGAGCCGACACAAAGGGAGGUAGAUGUAAAUUUCACUAAAAUCCAUAGCAGGUCUAGUCAUAAGUUUUCUCUCAGAAAAA